rnacentral:misc_RNA from 1 species
GAUGAAGAACGUAGCGAAAUGCGAUACUUGGUGUGAAUUGCAGAAUCCCGUGGACCAUCGAGUCUUUGAACGCAAGUUGCGCCCGAAGCCAUCAGGUUGAGGGCACGUCUGCCUGGGCGUCACAUAUCGUUGCCCAAUGCCUAUUGCAGUGCAAUAGGAAUUUCUAGGGCGAAUGAUGGCUUCCCGUGAGCGUUGUUGCCUCGCGGUUGGUUGAAAAUCGAGUCCUUGGUAGGGUGUGCCAUGGUAGAUGGUGGUCGAGUUAGAACGAUACCGAUCAUGUGCAUGCUCCCCAAAAUAUGGCCUCUAUGACCCACACGCGUCUUUUGACGCUCAUGACGAGACCUCAGGUCAGGCGGGGCUACCCGCUGAAUUUAAGCAUAUCAAUAAGCGGAGGA